rnacentral:misc_RNA from 1 species
CCUGUAAGCAUGAAAAAAGCUCCUAAAUUUUGACUGAUAAAAACCAAUUCUUUUUUUGAUCUACCAUCUGAAACAAUACUCAGUUAUGGCUUACUUUUGGCAUAACUGAGUAAAAAAAAAUUAUAUGAAUAAAAACAAAUCUUUUUGAUCUACUAUUUGAAAAAUUGCCUAAUGGCAUGUAUGUAGGUUAAAAAAAACCCUUUUUGAUAUGCCAUCUGAAAGUGGUGUGAAAAAUUCAUUAUUACCAGGAGUGAGCAAAAAAACACAUGAAUUCAUUUUAAAUAAAAAAAAUUCCUAGAAUUCUUGGAAUUAUUCAACAGGCACACAACUCUCAAAGGAAUGUAUCAACAAAAAAAAAAUGAGCAACCUUGGAUUUGCUAAAUUAGUCUCAGGUUUUGAUGUUAGUGAAAUUGCUCUGCAAGUGAUGCAUACAUUUCUUUUAAGUUUCAAAGAUCAAUAUGUGAAGUGUGUAUAUUUUAAAUAUGUACAUCAAAUUGGUUUGAAGUAUGUAAAUUGGCGUAUGACAAAUCUCUCUUUGCUGUAGACAUUCAAUGACAAGCAUGUCGCCAGACACACAAAAUCUGCUUCAAAUGUCUCAUCCUUUGCUUUCUCUAAAAAAAAUAAUAUUCAGGUUAUAUAAGGAACAAAUAACUAUAUUUUGAUAAAUUUUUGAAUGGUUGGAAUUUGACCAAUAAAAAAGCACUUUGAACAGUCUAUAAUUUUUCAUUUAAUGAAGAAUUAACCCUUAUACUUGUUGAUCAGUUAAUUCUUUAAUGGUGUCUGGGUCUGUUUUGUAGCAUGCAAGCUAUACAGAACCUGGGCUUGGCUGUGAUAGCCAUCGCAGCAGGUGCCAUUGUGGACUCUAGCGGCUAUCUUAUCCUAGAAGUCUUCUUUCUGGCAUGCCUCUGUGGUACGUUCACUUGUCAAACAUUUUCAUACAUGGAUACCUGCUUAAUUUUGUCCCAUUUGCUCCAACCUUCAUUGGGAGAUUUCAAAGCAGUAAAUCACAAAUUUUAGGGAAUUGAAUUUGAAAACAUAGUUUGGAUAUGGUGUAGUCCAACUUUUCUUCCUGGCGAGUUUUUUUGCACAUUUUCGGAUUGAGAUGCACUGGUUUGCAACAACUAAUUUUCGUGAUAAAGAAAAGUUUCUCGCAUGCAAAAAAAAGUUUGUUUACAGUAUUUGUAAUGAGCAAACUUACAUGUAUUAAUACUGUAUACAAUAUUUCUCUCUGAAAUUCACACUUUAGGAAUAAAUCUUUAUCUGCAAACUGAAAAUCUAAUUCUAUGUAACAAAAGGAUAGUAAAGAUUUCUAGCGCACACUGUCUGCAGACAUUGAAAUUUUGGUCUAUAAUUCUUUUAUACGAUUUUAGUUGCCCUCAUAGCAGCUGUGAUGUUAUAUCUAGUGGAUGCCUCUAGAGGUGGAAAGCUAAAUAGGUCAGCCAAAGAAAGGAAGAGGUUAGCAGCUUUGAAAGAGGAAGAAGAAGAAGAGAAGAAGUUAUUAGACUGAUGAUAACACUGGUGGGAGUUUGUCUAUAGUGAAGUGAUGAUUUGAUUGUGUAAAGUUCAGCACAUCCAAAGACUUGCUGGUAAACAUCAGACUCACCCAGAAAGUGUUUCAGGUGAACCCCUUGAACACAUACCAUAAAGACACUGAAGAUUUCUCUAUCUGAAUAUGAGGAAUUACCUCAGAACUUGGUGCUUUUCAUUCAGAAUUAUUAAAACAUUUACGUCAACUCAUUAACAUGUCUGAGACCCAUCCCACAGAAUCUUACUAAGUUAGUUUCAAGUUCAAUUAACUUCUACAAAACAGUUAUUGCUACAUGAGAGACCGAAAAGUGGUUACCUUAAAUCAACAAGACUUACUAAAGGCAUACUUUUAUCUACAUAUACAUGUAUAAUAUGUAGAUUUAGUGGAUUGUCAAUGAAUGAACAACAAAAUUGAACUACAUGUAUGUACUAUUUGUCUGUGUAAUUUAUAUCAAUUUUAUUUAAAUGACAAUUUUUGUGUCUCGAUACCUACUUUGCUCAUGAAUCAUGCAAAACAUGUGAUAUAAAAACCAUGAUGUCAUUAUGAUGGUGUUGUGAUGAAAUUGUGCAUUGUUGCUUGAAUACAAGUACAUGUAUUUUAUUUUAUUAAA